rnacentral:lncRNA from 1 species
CAGCAAAAUAGGGACUCAGGCAAACUGGGUCCUAGAACUGACUGAUCACAGCCGGCAGUGUGACCUCACUGUCCUCAGUGAUCUCGUCCAUAGCAGCUGAGGAUGAGGGUUUCGGACUCAGGUGGUGGUGAGUUAGAAGAAAGGAAGCCUCGGAGGCUAGCUGAAAUAAAAGUAGAUUUGCUGUAAGGAUAUGGCGGGGAGUCUCACUAAAGACGGGAAGCAAAGUCUCACCAGGCUACAUGGCCCUGGAACCAGAAAGUUCUCUCAGCCUCUCCUGGGUCCUCAAGGCCCCUGGCCCUGCCUCUCGGUGAGUGUGAUCCGGUUUUACUGUCCCCUCCACAGCCCCGCUGUCUGUGCUCACUCAGGGCUUCUCUGCUCCAGGUACAUUGUAGCUUUGCUCUGCUUUGGGACCCGGCUCCAGCAGUGCCUUUCUCUGAUCUUUCCUGGUGAUACACCCCUCUUCGUCUUCCUGCUUCAGGCUGUGUUCACCUUGGUUCAAGAGGAGGUGUGUGUGGGGUGAGUGGCCACGUGGUACAAACUCAACAGCCAGAGCUGUGGGUGGAGACAGAGUCUCCGAGGGUGUGAGGUGGGAGCCGGUGAUUGGCCAGUCCGCCACUCUUGGAUCUUGAGAGGGUCUUGGUUACAGGUUCCAUAAUUCUACCACCUUUGUUGUUUCUGUUACGGUUACCAACUUGAGAGAGCGUGCCUCGAAAGGCAUUGAGAUUGAAUUCCAGCCUGACAGCAACGAGGUGUUUUUCAGAGAUUGCAAGCCCCUUUUGGCAGGGUGAAAGCGCAGCUUAAGCUGCAGGCCGCAGAGCGAGCUGUUUGUUGUUGUUCCUCCACUAACGCUGACUGUACACAAGAGGCUGCCUUCACCUUGGGGCCAGCAGACUUGGAGGGAGCCAUGCAGAUUAGCGAACGCACCUGACGAAAACAGGAUGUAUUUUAUUACAAAGGGCAGUUUUGAGAGUGCUGGAACUUGGUCUUCUGCAAAGGCUCUCUUGUCGUGGGUUUCUACCCAAAUCGGUAUUUUCCAGGCGUUCCAGGACUGCGGCUGAGAGGGGCUGGAGCCAGUCCACAGCCCAGAGCAGGAUCACCUGUUCCCCAUUGCACAGUCUCAGACACAUACUCCAACUGGCCCCUCUCCAAGCCCCGCAGCUUCUGAAAACACAUGGAUUUCAUGGUGAAGGAAAUAUCUCCACCUAAAGCCUUUCUAGGCACCCUUCCCCCCAAGGCGUUUUGCUAAUGUGUACCAGAAUGUUCUUGAAAGGAGAAAAAAGGAAAAAGAGAAAGAAAUGCUUUGUGAGGAGAAGGCUCUGCCUUCCGGCCCUUCUAACACAACUGCCUCCUAUUAAUCUGCGACCUAGUUAAGAGAACCGGAAAUAAUGUCUCGCAUGUGGAGCUUUCUGUGACCACAGCUGUCGUCCAUGUGAACACUCACUGUGUGCCGGGAUCUGUGCUACAUCCUUUUUAGGGAGACGCUCAUUUGCUCGGCACUACAACCCGACUGGGCGGGGAUCAUUUUUAUGAAUGUUACAGAGAUUGCAAAAGCUGAGGCUUAAAGACUUGAAGUCACUGGCCCAGAAUCACCAGCCAAUAAGUGGUGGAGCCAGAAUUUGAAUCCUAAGUAGUCCGACUCCAGAGACCUCACUGAAUUAAAUUACACUGAUUUAAUUCAUGUGAAGUAUCUAGAAGACACGAAUUUUUACUUGUAUUUUACAGAUGAGAAAACUGGAGUUUAGAGUGGUUAAUUGAUUGGCCCAAGCUUGCAGCUGUUACGUGAUUGAGUCGAGAACCAGACCUGGUGUACUGGACCCUCAGGCCAUUGUUCUGUCCACUAAACACACGUUUGUGAGCCUCUCCGUUCCCCGAGGCCACUUUGCAAACCAAGGGAAAGUGAAUUGACACAGCAAGAGCAGUUUAGGGGCAGUUGGUCAUCCUAACCAACCUUUUACUUUUAGGAAGCCUCCAGGGUCUGAUAGAUCUUUGCUUACAUUCUCUGCCUCUCCCUGCAGACUCUCAAAUGGCACUUGACACGAAUUAGAUAAGUUCAGUUACUGAAGGGGAGGAAAAUACUAUAAAACAUAAGGUUUGCUUACAUGCUCUCUGGUACCCAUAGGAACCGCCAACCAACAGAUGUUGUGGGUCCAGAUGAAAGAACGGAGAACAUGUGAUGAUGAAUUUACUAGCGUUUUCUGGAAUGCUCCCAGGUUCUUCCCCUCAAGCAUUUGUUUUUUCUCUCACGAAGAAGCAACUCCAAUGAUCUAAACUCUGUAAUUUAGGACAGGAGCGUCUCUUCACACUCCAUGAAGUUCUUGCAAAUUUAAGUUAUGACUCAAUCUUCUCUCCAAACCAAAAUGUGAUGCCAAAUUUGGACUGAGAAAAAACCUAUAAAUAUACAUAAAUUUAAUUUUUAUCCUAGAAUGUUAACUUUUAUCUGUGUGACUGUUAGAAGAAAAGAAUGGUUAUAAUCAUCUGACAAUGAACAUGACUCUCAGUCAGGGAGCUGGUCAACUGACAAUUAUGGAAAACGUGUUCAAUAAGUUUUAAAGAUACCCUAAGGUGAUAACAUUUGAAAUGAGCAAUUACUUUGGCAAAUGUGAAUAAUCCAUGCUUAUUUUUUUUAAUUAUUUUUCUUUUAUUUAUUUACUGAUUUUAAAAAUUGAGAUAUAAU